AAUGACUAUUUUAAACAGAGACAAGGAACAAGCAGUGAGUCAAGCUGAAUCACUGCAAAACCACCAAAGCUAAAAUCAGCCUGUUAGGGCAGCGCAACCAAGGUCAUACUUUGUAUGGACCACCGUGCAAUUUGAAAUACAAAUGCUAAUCUUAAAUUAUUGUCUACAACUUUGCUUUGCUUUUUUUUUUCUUGUGACAGAAGUGAAAGACUCAACUAAUGAAUCAACUAAAAGGAAUACUGCAUCAGCACAGCUGUAGCAUUGUGGAAAAAGCAGGAUUUAAAAGUGGCGAUCGAAAAUCUACACAGCCCUGUUCAAACGUCAGGUUUUUGUCAUACAGAAAAAUGAGACCAAUGGAAAUCAUUUAUAAAAAGCCUUUUUCCAACAUUAA